rnacentral:lncRNA from 1 species
GACAAGCUCCCUUAGACAGUGAAGAUGCUCAAUGUUACUAGUGGCCUAGGGGGUUAAAGUCACCUCAAAACAAAGAUGAUUUUAGCAUCAAAAGGUAAUAGCCCCAAGGAAGAAAAAAAUGUAUUGCCGGGAGAUAAAGCAGAGGAACUCACCUCUACGCUGCCUUCAGGACUACUUGUGUUGGCUAUUCCUGGUUGUCAACUUGAGUAUAUCUGGAAGGAACUACAAUCUAGAAAUGUAGGGCACAUUACACUAAAAUUGAUCAGCACUCACUCAGAGCCUCAACUUGAAUCUCUCACAUGAAAAAAAGAACACCAAGAUAUUGCUUUGCUGGUUUUGCUUCAUGGCUGAAGGGCUGACACUUCUAGAGAUUUAUUUAUUUAUUUAUUUAUUUAUUUAUUUAUUUAUUUAAUGUAUGUGAGUACACUGUAGCUGAAUAGAUGCUUGUGAACCAUAAUGUGGUUGCUGGGAAUUGAAUUUAGGACCUCUGCUCACUCCUGUCAGCCCCACUUGCUCCAGCCCUGUUCACUCUGGCCAAAGAUUUAUUUAUUAUUAUAAAUACACUGUAGCUGUCUUCAGACAGACACACCAGAAGAGGGCAUUGGAUCUCAUUACAGAUGGUUGUGAGCCACCAUGUGGUUGCUGGGAUUUGAACUCAGGUCCUUUGGA